rnacentral:lncRNA from 1 species
UUGGCACUGAAAAUGUCUCUAAUCAGCUGUACCGUUACAAAUGUGAUGGGGCAAAAAGUUUUAGGAAUGGUGAGAUAAUGUUGACUUGGAGAUAAUGGGGAGAGUAUUUUCAGCGGAGAAGCAAUUUCUCUAGAGAAAGAACUAUCUGGAGGAGUAUGACAACUUCAGCUCUCAAGAGAGAGGUUACCUUCAGAGGAUCCUGAAAAAAUGCAGGUCAAAAACUUGUAUGCUUUCCAAACUUUAUUUUUGUUUAGUAACUGUAGUGUUGUUGUAUGUUAGUUUGACUGUCAUACUUAAAUGUG